UGGGGUCUGAUUCGUACGUGCUCGGCAACUACAUUAUGAAAACAGAUUCAGAAAAUGCAAAAUGCAAAUGGCACAUAUUGCGUAAAACAAAUUAUAAAAAUAUUCCUUGAAACAAAUGCAAAACACGCGACGCGAAUCUUUGUGAGUCUUGACAGAAAAUAUGGAAUAGAAGUGUUGGUCAAGCUCUCCAGUGCUUUAUCUGAUGGCAGAGAGGUAAUCAUGGUUGAUCAAAUAGGUGAAGGAAAUGAGCCAAAACAAAUUUCUGGGUUCUGAUUCAAAAUCGAACCAAAAAUGCUUGGUAGGGAAACAAAUUUCUGGCUUCAGAAUUAAAAUCUUACUUCUGUUUUUGUGAGCAGAGCAAUGGGAUUCUUCUGAUACACCUCCCUGCAACCAAAGGAUGUAUCGGUUAAGUUUACACUCUUCGAGCGAGUGUCGGCUCCAAAAAAAUUAGAGAGAAAGAGCAAGAUUGAAAAGAGAAGUUGAGAAAUAGAAGAAGAGUCGAGAAAGAUAAGAAACAAUUCAUUCCGUAUAUCCUUACAUAUACCCCUUUGUCUAUAGAAGUUUCAAUUCAGCUCAGCAAACAACUUGUAACAGAAAAUAUAACAGCAAAAAUAAACCAGCAAAUAUAGAUCCCUAAAUAAUCGGAGUAACAAUAAAUCAAUUCCACUACACGAUAAAGUCUCUAAACCACCCAGGGGGGGCCUUCUCAAUCGUGUGCCUUUCUGUGGUUCAUUACAAGCUGCUUCGUCCUCAACAUGUGACGUGGUUUCUUUCUUGGACUGCCCUUCUUGUAAACAUUCAAGUUGGUCCAACUGAAUUUCGAAGGUUGUAUC
rnacentral:lncRNA from 1 species